rfam:Otolemur garnettii contig012709, whole genome shotgun sequence.
GCGCCUGUGGCUCAAAGGUGUAGAGCGCCAGCCCCAUAAGCUGGAGGUGGCAGGUUCAAACCAAGCCCUGGCCA